AAAAAAGGAGAUUCCUAUUAUUUCACAUCAUAUCAUAUGAUACUGCACUGAUGUUCAGCGCAACUGUCUUCAAAGGGCAGGUCCUAUACAAAACCAAGAAAGGUCUGUUAGAAUAUCCACUGGAAAAUGAACGAUUAUCAAAGGCCUCUAAUGCUUUUAAAGCUGUAUUAAAACAAAACCCUGUCCAUAAAAGAUUCUCUGUUGUCAAAAUAAAUCAAAUCACAAGCAAUAUGUGAAUCAAGACAAUGGUGAAUAAAUUCUUCUCAUUCCAGAAGGAGAAGAACCUCACUCACCAGCAUGCUCCACUAUAAGACUUGGGAACUCAUCAUACUGGUGCCAGCAGAGGGCAAUACUGCACAGGCCAAAAUUUUGUGGUGAUAAGGUAUAAAACGCAAAGUAUCUCUCUUGUUCCACCCCACAGCACAAGUCUUUCCACUUCCAAAUGAAGAACAUUCUCAAGGAUUGCAAGGAACUAUGAAAAUGCGAAUGGUCUCAAAGGAACAUAAUGCCUGGGUUUUGGCUUGUCCUGUAUUCACCCGCUGAAUGAAGAAGGAUCUGAAACGUUAUACAAGGACUAUGGCAGUACUGUUUUCACAGCCACUUUCAGAGCCAAGUUUCAGCUUCUCUGGCAGAAGUGCCUGCUUUCCAUGAAGGAAGGGCUGACAGAAGCAAACACACACCUCCAGAGGAAAAACAAACGUUGAAGUAUUCAGCAGCAUCCAUGCCAGAGAUCUGUCUCCUUUUGCCUACAGCCCCAGCUCCACUUGGAGAUCCUUGUACAGCUCUUCGGUUCCCGAACUAGAGAGACAAACAGGAUGAUUUCGGUUUUGUCUGUUCCACACUCUCGUGAUUGCUUUCAGUCAGAUCUCCAAUCUACUUAUUCCCACGUGUUUUUUUCCAGCCUGGCCUUCUCAUGCAUUCAAGAUUUGUUAUUCUGUGUGUCUAGUUUGGAACACGUAAGUCUUUUUAACAUUUAUUAUAAUAUGCUUGGUACCAGCUUCACGCUUUAUCUUAGUCCCAAUUUAUCUCCCAUAUAUUUGUUGUUGCUCCCACACCUAAUCAUAUCAAUGAACAGUAAAAUUUUCAUUUUGUGAUAUUUUAGGAAAAAAACACUGACAGCUGCAGAGGGCUGGCAUUUUGCCAGCACUUCAGGAACCAAAAGAGAUAGGAGGUCAGGAUAACCUUUAUUUCAAACCUUAUAUGGAACCUUCCAAGGGAGCAGAUGCCAACGAAAUCGAGUCGGGGGCUACUUUGCAGGCCGCGGGCUCAAUAAACGACCGUGGAGAGGGGUGUCCUGCGCCUGUUAGAAAUUAUUAUUAUUAUUAGGAAACGUGAUUCUCAUUUUAAUGAGAAAUAGAAUACAUACGUAUAAAGCCAGCGUAUGAAACACCUGCUACUCGUAGUAACCGGUGCGUAGAGCAAGGCGGUCGGUUCCCCCCCCCCCCCCGUGUAUCUGGUACUGUAUUAAAAAGAAUGCCUGCUUCCUAAGACUCCCAGUUGGUUUCUUUCCCCGAUUUCGGUGACGCGGCCACAGGGAUGGCUCGUCCUCCCUCCUGCGCCUCUGACAUAGAGCAGGACGGGCCGUGGGACAGGGACAGCGCCAGGGAGCCAUGACAGA